UACAGAGGGGGCAAGCGUUGUUCGGAAUUACUGGGCGUAAAGGGCGCGUAGGCGGCCUUCUAAGUCGAACGUGAAAUCCCCGGGCUCAACCCGGGAACUGCGUCCGAUACUGGAAGGCUUGAAUCCGGGAAAGGGAUGCGGAAUUCCAGGUGUAGCGGUGAAAUGCGUAGAUAUCGGAAGGAACACCAGUGGCGAAAGCGGCUUCCUGGUCCAGCACCGACGUCAGGCACGAAAGCGUGGGGAGCAAACAGG
rnacentral:rRNA from 1 species